AAAACUUUCAACAACGGAUCUCUUGGUUCUCGCAUCGAUGAAGAACGCAGCAAAGCGCGAUAGGUAAUGCGAAUUGCACACGUGAGUCAUUGAAUCUUUGAACGCACAUUGC
rnacentral:rRNA from 1 species